UACGUAGGUGGCAAGCGUUGUCCGGAUUUAUUGGGCGUAAAGCGCGCGCAGGUGGUUUCUUAAGUCUGAUGUGAAAGCCCACGGCUCAACCGUGGAGGGUCAUUGGAAACUGGGAGACUUGAGUGCAGAAGAGGAAAGUGGAAUUCCAUGUGUAGCGGUGAAAUGCGUAGAGAUAUGGAGGAACACCAGUGGCGAAGGCGACUUUCUGGUCUGUAACUGACACUGAGGCGCGAAAGCGUGGGGAGCAAACAGG
rnacentral:rRNA from 1 species